rnacentral:lncRNA from 1 species
AUUAAUAAUUUGAAAUUAGAGAAAUUCAGAACUACUUCAAAUUUCUAUGUAAACAUUCAGGAAGUGUUUUAAACACAUAAAAAUGUGAAAAAUGUCUACUUUAAUCGAGAAAGUCCUAAAAAUAUAAUCCUAUAAUCAUUUAGUUGUCAAUACAACUACCUCUUGUGACAUUUGUAAUCAAGCAAAUUGUAGUUUCUCUCUUGAAAAUACUUGUCAUUCUUUAACACUACUACACUUUGACAUGCCAUGGAGUUUCCGUACUAUGUCACCAUCCGGCAGCCGAAACCGCCGAAGAAAGCCACCGUGCUGGAUCUUGAUGCAGUGGCACUAUUGUCUUCCACUUGCAUCUUCAUGUUUUCUUUGAUCACUUCUUUCACCACUGUUUCCACAUAACUCGCUAAGCUUUGAUAAUAUAGACCUAACAAAUUUGCAGCCACCAGAUACCAAAGCACACACUCCUAUUACACAACCUAUUGUUGCUGUCUCUAUUUCCUUCAUUUUUACAUCUUAAUAAUUCAUGCAUCAACACUUUAGGUCACGAUUUGAGCAUGAGAAAGAGAAUAGGUUGAUCCCAUAGAGCCACUACUAUGUCGACCUACAAUGAUAAGUCAUCAACCAUGGUUUCGGCACGUAAGAGGGAUGGCGUUGCUACGUGUAUCAGUUUUGG